AUACGUAGGGUGCAAGCGUUAAUCGGAAUUACUGGGCGUAAAGCGUGCGCAGGCGGUUUUGUAAGACAGAGGUGAAAUCCCCGGGCUCAACCUGGGAACUGCCUUUGUGACUGCAAGGCUAGAGUACGGCAGAGGGGGAUGGAAUUCCGCGUGUAGCAGUGAAAUGCGUAGAUAUGCGGAGGAACACCGAUGGCGAAGGCAAUCCCCUGGGCCUGUACUGACGCUCAUGCACGAAAGCGUGGGGAGCAAACAGGAUUAGAUACCCUGGUAGUCCACGCCCUAAACGAUGUCAACUGGUUGUUGGGUCUUCAUUGACUCAGUAACGAAGCUAACGCGUGAAGUUGACCGCCUGGGGGGUACGGCCGCAAGGUUGAAACUCAAAUGAAUUGACGGGG
rnacentral:rRNA from 1 species